CUUCCGGCCGUGCGGUCCGCGCUUUUGUCCCGCUGGCGGCCGGGUUCCCGCGGCGCCGCCACAGCCAGUUGCCUUCUUCCUCAUCUCUGCAGUAACUGUCUUCAUGGUUUCAUAGCCUUCUCCCUGAUACCCCUCCCCAGUGUCACAUUUGAAGACGAGCACUGAGGAUGAGGAACCAACUGAAGAAUAUGAAAAUGUUGGAAAUGCAGCAUCUAAGUGGCCAAAAGUGGAGGAUCCUAUGCCUGAAUCUAAGUUUCAGAUGAACUCCCAUAAUGAAUGAUGAAUUUGUGAUGAGGGAUAACCUGGAAGUGGUAUUCACACAUUAUGCUACAAUAAAAGGUUCUACCGUGGAGAGGAUUUUGACACAUUCAGUAACUAAUGGAACACACCGUCAACAUGAAUUCACACCUUACAUGACAGAAGUGAUUCAGGGAUUCCUAUGAAUAGAAAUGCUGAGAAGGAACGCAUUUUAUUGCAGAAGCUAAAAAGCUAAAGUACCAGUCAUCUAGAGAGAAGGAAAUUAAUGUUUCUUAAUAAUCCUGUUAAAUGUUUGAUUGUUUUUGGAAUGUGUUAUUGUAAAGAUGUCAUGCAGGACAUGUAUAUGUUGUCUGUUGUAAAAUGUUAACAAAUACUUUGUUCAGGGCUCACUCUCUCUUUGUCAUGAAAGCCAGCUCCUUGUGGCGAGGUAAAGUGGAAUUCCAAUAAAGAAAUUCCUUAAAUCAAAA
rnacentral:sRNA from 1 species